AGAUCUGAAGAAUAAUUAACUUUCAUUAAGUAACAACUAACAACUUUAAAAAUGUGCAAAGCAAUGUUCAUUUUCGUUGUGGUGGCGCUUGCGCUUCAGAUCUCGUGCAUUGGUGUAUUUGCUGCACCAGGAUUAGUUGGUGACACGGUUGGAAGUCUACCUGGCGGGGUUGGAACUAUCCGGCCCAUUCCAGAAGUCGCCAAAACCGCCGACGAUGUACUAAACCUAGGGCAAGGGGCCCUAAACAUGGGCGGUUAAAGAGGGUGCCUCAACGGCAAAGACGAAACAAUGUCAGAUGCCGCAAAUUGAGGAUUCCUCAGCAGAAUAUUUUUUUUUUUAUAGUACAAAAUACUUACAGUACUUCGUGCUAAAUCCAUUAUUGAAUAUAAAAGUUGUAUUUAAUACCAUAUUGUUAUCCCAUUCGAUAUAUUUUGUAUAUUAAAUAUUGUUAAAAAUGUA